AACGCGAAGAACCUUACCUGGGCUCGAACGGCUUUGGAUCGACGGUGGAAACACUGUUUUCCCGCAAGGGACCGGAGUCGAGGUGCUGCAUGGCUGUCGUCAGCUCGUGUCGUGAGAUGUUGGGUUAAGUCCCGCAACGAGCGCAACCCUUGUCCUGUGUUGCCACUCCGUAAGGAAGCACUCUCAGGAGACCGCCAGCGAUAAGUUGGAGGAAGGUGGGGAUGAUGUCAAGUCAUCAUGGCCUUUAUGUCCAGGGCUACACACGUGCUACAAUGGUCGGUACAAAGCGCUGCAAACCCGCGAGGGGGAGCCAAUCGCAAAAAGCCGGCCUCAGUUCGGAUUGCAGGCUGCAACUCGCCUGCAUGAAGCUGGAAUCGCUAGUAAUGCCGUAUCAGAACGAUGGCGUGAAUACGUUCCCGGGCCUUGUA
rnacentral:rRNA from 1 species